AAAUCUCUACAGAAUAUAAAAUUGAGAAACACAACAAGCUUUAACAGAAUUCAAAGACUUUGGAAGAAUUUGUCUGAAAACUAAAACUUCUGGAUUUGAAAAAUGUUACUGUACUUCUCUGUCAUCACAACCUGGAUGCCUGCUGGCCCUGCUCUGCAAGGCUGAGGCUGCCUUCCACCUUUGACAUUUUGCCAUGAUCUUUCCUCCUUGAAGGGAAUGUUGUUUGUGGGGAAUCCCUCAAAGUGAUCCAUCCUCAGAAUUCUCAUUUAAAUGGGGAGUCUGCUUGAUAGAGAUCUGCCACAUAAAGCAGCAUUUUACUGUGUUCAGAAUGCUAAUUCCCAUUGGACUCAACUCAUUCAGUCUGACUUAUGGACUGCUUUUGGAAGCACAGUACUGACCUAAAUGGACCUUUGAUCUGGAUUGUCAUAGCCAUCCUUGGAUGAGGAGAAGUACACUGACAAAUGAGUAAGUGCAGGCUUUCGCCAUCUGGAAUUCAGCAAAAUUUAUCAAAAAUUAAUAUUUUUUUUCACCGAGAAAAGUGCAAGCGAAUCACUAAGUAUAUGAGCAAAGAAUAGAGAGUUUUGUCUGAAUAGACUGUGAUUCUGGAGUCAAGCACUCUGUUGAUAUAUUUUUUUAAGUAGGUUUUGCAGCUUCCAUGUCUUCUUUGUUGCUUUUUGUAGAAGUAAAAAUUUGCAACAACUA